rnacentral:rRNA from 1 species
GGAGGGUGCAAGCGUUAUUCGGAAUCACUGGGCGUAAAGAGCGCGUAGGCGGGUUUCUAAAGUCAGAUGUGAAAGCCCGGGGGCUCAACCCCCGGAAGUGCAUUUGAAACUUAGGGACUUGAGUAUGGGAGAGGGAAGUGGAAUUCCUGGUGUAGCGGUGAAAUGCGUAGAUAUCAGGAGGAACACCGGUGGCGAAGGCGACUUCCUGGACCAAUACUGACGCUGAGGCGCGAAGGCGUGGGGAGCAAACAGGAUUAGAUACCCUGGUAGUCCACGCAGUAAACGUUGAACACUAGGUGUAGCGGGUAUUGACCCCUGCUGUGCCGCAGCUAACGCAUUAAGUGUUCCGCCUGGGGAGUACGGCCGCAAAGGCUAA